rnacentral:rRNA from 1 species
GGAUUCCCCUAGUAACUGCGAGUGAACCGGGAACAGCUCAAAUUUCCAAUCUGGCGGUCUUCGGCCGUCCGAGUUGUAAUCUAGAGAAGCGUCUUCCGCGCCGGACCGUGUACAAGUCUCCUGGAAGGGAGCAUCGUGGAGGGUGACAAUCCCGUCUGUGACACGGAACCCCCGGGGCUACGUGAUGCGCUCUCGACGAGUCGAGUUGUUUGGGAAUGCAGCUCAAAUCGGGUGGUAAACUCCAUCUAAAGCUAAAUACGUGCGAGAGACCGAUAGCGAACAAGUACCGUGAGGGAAAGAUGAAAAGGACUUUGGAAAGAGAGUUAAACAGUACGUGAAAUUGCUGGAAGGGAAACGCUCAAAGUCAGUCGCGUCGUCCGGGGAUCAGCCCUGCAUGCAUGUCCAUGCUCGGCGUAAUUCCCGCGUCGACGGGUCAGCAUCGAUUUCGCCCGUCAGACAAGGCCGUGGAGGAACGUGGCACUCUUCGGAGUGUGUUAUAGCCUCCCAGCGGCGGACGUGACGGGCCUCGGGAUCGAGGAAAACUUGGCGUUCGUCGCCUCGGAUGCUGGCGUAAUGUCUUUGAGCGACCCGUCUUGAAACACGGACCAAGGAGUCUAACGUGCCUGCGAGUGUUUGGGUGACCAAACCCGAGCGCGCAGUG